rnacentral:rRNA from 1 species
CCUACGGGAGGCAGCAGUAGGGAAUCUUCGGCAAUGGACGAAAGUCUGACCGAGCAACGCCGCGUGAGUGAAGAAGGUUUUCGGAUCGUAAAACUCUGUUGUUAGAGAAGAACAAGGGUGAGAGUAACUGUUCACCCCUUGACGUAUCUAACCAGAAAGCCAC